UGAGGAAUAUUGGUCAAUGGGCGAGAGCCUGAACCAGCCAUGCCGCGUGCAGGAUGACGGCUCUAUGAGUUGUAAACUGCUUUUGUAAAGGGGUAAAGGACAGUACGUGUACUGUGAUGAAAGUACUUUACGAAUAAGGAUCGGCUAACUCCGUGCCAGCAGCCGCGGUAAUACGGAGGAUUCGAGCGUUAUCCGGAUUUAUUGGGUGUAAAGGGUGCGUAGAUGGGAAUGUAAGUUAGUUGUGAAAUCCCUCGGCUUAACUGAGGAACUGCAACUAAAACUAUAUUUCUUGAGUGCAGGAGAGGUAAGUGGAAUUCCUAGUGUAGCGGUGAAAUGCGUAGAUAUUAGGAGGAACACCAGUGGCGAAGGCGACUUACUGGACUGUAACUGACGUUGAGGCACGAAAGUGUGGGGAGCAAACA
rnacentral:rRNA from 1 species